UGUGCGUGCGUAACAAGAUUUGUAAACCUUAAAAAUAAAAUACAUGUUGAUAAAGUACACACAAAUCACCUGGUACGCACACACAAAACUGCAGUUACACACAAAUCCGGUUACGAGUGCACAACUAUUUUUGAGACUCAUUUCACGCCUCGGUGGAAGCUCCAAGAUUUGUGUGUAGAUGGUGCGUUUACAUGCUAGUAAAAGCUGGGACAUCUGAGUUUUCUUCGGAACUGUUUCUUUUUUCCAUAGUUCAAUACGUAUUUCUCUCUUUACUUGUCUCGUGGCUUAGACAUAUUUUUGUGAGAGAAAAAUACAUAUGUCAUUACACCCACGACUACUUUUUAAUACUAUAAGAUUGUUUAUAUAUGAAUCCGCAUUUGGGACCUAUACAACUGUAAUUACUUGGGUAAAAAAUUCGACCACUAGGUGGUGGAAGUUUAUUCCGCUCUGACUGGGAAAAGCCUUCAUUCAAACUGAGAGAAGAAACAAGAGAAUGGCGGGUCAGCCGAGUGAUCGUGUUCGUAUUCGUGGUCUACCGUCCGAAGUAAGUGGAUGUUAAAAUUUGCACGUUUUACUGACCGUUGUAAUGCGUAUUUUUUAGAUUAUUUCAGAUUAUGUUUUACGUUUCAAGUAGUUCGACCCAAAGUUCUCGCCCUUCUAUGUUAGCAAUAGCUCAUGUCUACGUUAGCUAAGCUACUAUUAGUCCUCAUUAGUAUCGGUACAGUUUAAAACAGUAUCUUCCUGGCCCAUUACAGCUAUGUCUACGUUUAUCCCCAUGCUCAGCUAUUUUUAUGAUGCCGACAAUAAUGUAGGCUUAGGUGACGUCUUUUAUUAUUUGAAGGAUUCAUCCCAGUUCUCCUCACUAAUUGUAGUUUUUGAUUUAAUUUUUUUUUAGUUCUGCUACAGACUUAUGUUUCGUCUAUCACCUAUAUAUUUUAUAUCUUACUGUAAUCACUUAAGAUUUACUCUUCUCUACAUUUCUUCCUGGAAUAUGAUGGUCAUUGCUUUCAUACCAGAAAUAAAUACGUAGAACAUCUCUUAACAAAUGUACAAAUGUAUUCUAUGCCAUACAUAUACAUCUGCACCGUUUUUUUAUAUUAGUUUCAUGCAGAUCAUCAAUAUUUCAAAUUUUGAAAAUAUAACCUCAUCCAACACUGAAGCACUUGUAAGCAGCUGAAUAUAAGUGUAGUAACUCGGCUGAAUCUUUAAAAUAUUAAUAUUUCUGUUACUUCAUUAUGAGCAAACCACAUUUCUCAUUACUUCCAUGUGAUGACUUACAUUUUUGGACAGAUAAUAUGUUAAGUUGUGCUUCACAUUAACUAAAUUGUAAUUGUAGCCAUCUAGUGAAAUUAUAUUUCUAUUGUCCCCAAAAAGUGCUAAUAAUGUCAAACUUAUGAUAAAUUACUGUAUUGACAGUGUAAUGGUCAACUUUAACAAACUGUUCUUUAAUUCAUUUUUAUCUGUUUUGAAGGACUUGCUGACGCUCAUUUAAGAAAAUGGAGAGAGAUCAACAAGAUCAGUGGGAUAGAGAGGUUGUGGCGUGAUCUGUGGAUGGGAGUCACAUGUGUUUUCUACAAUGUUCUACACCAACUGGAGGAAGAAAACCUCUUGGAUCUUAGCAAUCCUCUGCACUUGUUUUGCUGUCAUUAUGUUUUCUUGCCUCGCUUGCAAGUGCAUCUUGACAUAUUUAAACAAGGAUGGGACAAUCACCCAAUGAGAACUGAACAAAACCUCACUCCAAAUCAGUUGUGGGAACUGGGACAGAUCGGACAUUCAGUGGUUGACCCAGAGAUUCCCCAUAUAAACUGGGAGGAAAGUGGGCUUGUUCCUGAUCCACAUGCUGAAUUGCGAGUACCAGAGUUGGACAGCCCACUUACAGAAGAUCAGAUGGAGCUUCUCCGUGAAAACAUUGACCCCCUACAACCUUCAGAGUCUAGUGGCAUGGACAUUUACAUGGAUACUCUGCAAUAUUUGGAAACUUUACUUGUGACAAAUUAGAUGUCACUUAAAUUUAAAUGUUUGUAAUGAACAGCAUUUUCAAUACCAUUUAUUUAAAAAAUCCAUCAAACAUGUACAAAUAUACAAGCAAGUACAAGCUAGAGAAAGAACCAGCUGGCAAAAAUAUUAACUUUAUAAAGUUUAAUGUACACCAGAAAUAUGAAAAUUAUUUUAUGUUUGAAUGCCAAACAUUUGUGGAAUAUUUCAGCAAAAACCCACAUGAUGAACAGGGAUGCCUGACAAACAUUUAGUAGUCACCUCAGGAACACAACUUCAUGUCAAGACUGUGUUGAUGGACAUUAUUUGUAAAAAAAAAAA